GCUGGCGGCGUGCCUAAUACAUGCAAGUCGAGCGAACGGACGAGAAGCUUGCUUCUCUGAUGUUAGCGGCGGACGGGUGAGUAACACGUGGAUAACCUACCUAUAAGACUGGGAUAACUUCGGGAAACCGGAGCUAAUACCAGAUAAUAUUUUGAACCGCAUGGUUCAAAAGUGAAAGACGGUCUUGCUGUCACUUAUAGAUGGAUCCGCGCUGCAUUAGCUAGUUGGUAAGGUAACGGCUUACCAAGGCAACGAUGCAUAGCCGACCUGAGAGGGUGAUCGGCCACACUGGAACUGAGACACGGUCCAGACUCCUACGGGAGGCAGCAGUAGGGAAUCUUCCGCAAUGGGCGAAAGCCUGACGGAGCAACGCCGCGUGAGUGAUGAAAGUCUUCGGAUCGUAAAACUCUGUUAUUAGGGAAGAACAUAUGUGUAAGUAACUGUGCACAUCUUGACGGUACCUAAUCAGAAAGCCACGGCUAACUACGUGCCAGCAGCCGCGGUAAUACGUAGGUGGCAAGCGUUAUCCGGAAUUAUUGGGCGUAAAGCGCGCGUAGGCGGUUUUUUAAGUCUGAUGUGAAAGCCCACGGCUCAACCGUGGAGGGUCAUUGGAAACUGGAAAACUUGAGUGCAGAAGAGGAAAGUGGAAUUCCAUGUGUAGCGGUGAAAUGCGCAGAGAUAUGGAGGAACACCAGUGGCGAAGGCGACUUUCUGGUCUGUAACUGACGCUGAUGUGCGAAAGCGUGG
rnacentral:rRNA from 1 species